CGCUGGCGGCGUGCUUAACACAUGCAAGUCGAACGGUUAAGGCCCUUCGGGGUACACGAGUGGCGAACGGGUGAGUAACACGUGGGUGAUCUGCCCUGCACUUUGGGAUAAGCCUGGGAAACUGGGUCUAAUACCGAAUAUGACCAUGGACUUCACGGUUUGUGGUGGAAAGCUUUUGCGGUGUGGGAUGGGCCCGCGGCCUAUCAGCUUGUUGGUGGGGUAAUGGCCUACCAAGGCGACGACGGGUAGCCGGCCUGAGAGGGUGACCGGCCACACUGGGACUGAGAUACGGCCCAGACUCCUACGGGAGGCAGCAGUGGGGAAUAUUGCACAAUGGGCGCAAGCCUGAUGCAGCGACGCCGCGUGGGGGAUGACGGCCUUCGGGUUGUAAACCUCUUUCACCAGGGACGAAGCGAGAGUGACGGUACCUGGAGAAGAAGGACCGGCCAACUACGUG
rnacentral:rRNA from 1 species